rnacentral:rRNA from 1 species
GGAUGAACGCUGGCGGCGUGCCUAAUACAUGCAAGUCGAGCGAACAGAUAAGGAGCUUGCUCCUUUGAAGUUAGCGGCGGACGGGUGAGUAACACGUGGGUAACCUACCUAUAAGACUGGGAUAACUUCGGGAAACCGGAGCUAAUACCGGAUAACAUUUAGAACCGCAUGGUUCUAAAGUGAAAGAUGGUUUUGCUAUCACUUAUAGAUGGACCCGCGCCGUAUUAGCUAGUUGGUAAGGUAACGGCUUACCAAGGCGACGAUACGUAGCCGACCUGAGAGGGUGAUCGGCCACACUGGAACUGAGACACGGUCCAGACUCCUACGGGAGGCAGCAGUAGGGAAUCUUCCGCAAUGGGCGAAAGCCUGACGGAGCAACGCCGCGUGAGUGAUGAAGGGUUUCGGCUCGUAAAACUCUGUUAUUAGGGAAGAACAAAUGUGUAAGUAACUGUGCACAUCUUGACGGUACCUAAUCAGAAAGCCACGGCUAACUACGUGCCAGCAGCCGCGGUAAUACGUAGGUGGCAAGCGU